CAGAGGUGGCGGGAGAGGGAGUCCAGAGGUGGCGGGAGAGGGAGUCCAGAGGUGGCGGGAGAGGGAGUCCAGAGGUGGCGGGAGAGGGAGUCCAGAGGUGGCGGGAGAGGGAGUCCAGAGGUGGCGGGAGAGGGAGUCCAGAGGUGGCGGGAGAGGGAGUCCAGAGGUGGCGGGAGAGGGAGUCCAGAGGUGGCGGGAGAGGGAGUCCAGAGGUGGCGGGAGAGGGAGUCCAGAGGUGGCGGGAGAGGGAGUCCAGAGGUGGCGGGAGAGGGAGUCCAGAGGUGGCGGGAGAGGGAGUCCAGAGGUGGCGGGAGAGGGAGUCCAGAGGUGGCGGGAGAGGGAGUCCAGAGGUGGCAGGAGAGGGAGGCAGCCAUGGAGGGUGACACCCACUGAUGCAUUUCUCAGUCCAGUGAAUGCAGUCACUUUGGAUUUGUGAGAAUUGGGACCAGUGUUACUGCCACUAUCUACAGAGGCCUCACAAGGUUGUCUGUGCUAGCAAGUGAGUGAUUAGCAAAGACGCACUCCUGUGACACAUUAUGUUGAAAGUGCCAUCAUCAGAACCACACCACAGGGCAGUGGUUCUCCGGCAACGGCAGCCUCGGGAAACUUGAGAGAAACACAGAUUCUCCAGCCCCACCCCAGACCAAAGAAAUCAGAAGCUCUGGGGGUGGGGCCAGGAACCUGUGUUUUAACCAUCUCCCCAGCUGAUUCUGAUUCAGGCUAAAGCUGGGUGUCAGGCGAAGGGUGGGCAAGGUCUGGAGGCCCAAGCAUUUGAGGAACCUGCCCUGAUGGUGUAAAUAGUGUGCUGUGGGAGGUGCACCCGCCCUGAUGGUGUAAAUGGUGUGCUGUGGGAGGUGCACCCGCCCUGAUGGUGUAAAUGGUGUGCUGUGGGAGGUGCACCCGCCCUGAUGGUGUAAAUGGUGUGCUGUGGGAGGUGCACCCGCCCUGAUGGUGUAAAUGGUGUGCUGUGGGAGGUGCACCCGCCCUGAUGGUGUAAAUGGUGUGCUGUGGGAGGUGCACCCGCCCUGAUGGUGUAAAUGGUGUGCUGUGGGAGGUGCACCUGCCCUGAUGGUGUAAAUAGUGUGCUGUGGGAGGUGCAUUUGGGGUGUUAUUCUGCUAACUGACUAACAUCAAAUCCAGUGGGCCAGCAAUCCAGCUUGGGGGCUUUCAGGAGCAGGGUGCUGCGUGAACCCUCAUUUAACCCUCCCUACAAUGUGGUGCCACGGGAGUGCAUGCACCUGUUUCAGAGAUGAAGACAAAAGGCCCUCAUGGAGUCAUUUGUCCCAAGCCAUCCUGGUUGUCUGUGGUGUGCCCAUGGGUGGAGGGGCCCCGGCGGGAGAUUAAGGCUGUGUAUUAGGGUUCUUGAGAGAGACAGAACCAAUAGUAUCUGUCUGUCUACACCUAUCUAGAUAGCUAGAUGAGAAGGGAUUUGUUGGGAGAAUUGGCUCACACAUUUGUGGAGGCUGAGAAGUCCCACCACUGGCUGUCUCCAAGCUGCAGACCCUGGGAUGCUGGUGGUGAGGCUCAGUCCAAGUCCGAAGGCCUGAGAACCCAGGGGCCACGGGUGUAAGUCCUGAAGUCCAAAGGCUGGAGCGCCUGGAGUUCUGAUGUCCAAGGACAAGAGAAGAAGAGCACCCCAGCUCCAAGAGGGAGAGACACCAACUCGCCUUUCCUCUGUUUUUGCUCUCUCUGGGCCCCCAGUUGAUUGGAUGGUAUCACUCACAUUAAGAGCAGAUCUUCCCCACUUACUCCACUCAGACUCACGUGCCAGUGUCCUCUGGAGACACUCUCACAGACACACCCCAAAAUAAUGCCUCAUCAGGUUCCUGGGUACUGCUUCAUCCAGUCAAGCAGACACCUAGAAUUAACCAUCGUGGUUGGGAGGCUGGAGGAGGCCUGAGCGCUGGGGCCAGGUGGCAGAGGAGCUGGAGUGAAGGGACACAGAUCUCGCCUUCACCCACCAGUGGCCCUGGGGACUGCUUUCAGGGCGCACUGCCCGUUACACAGGUGCUCGAAUUGUAAAGAGUGUUUCAAAUGUUUACAAUGGCAGGUUUGUCAUGAAGCAGUGUUAGCUGCAGAGACAAUGUUUCUGACAUAGAGCAGUGCUGAAUAGACUGUUAAUAACUAGUGGGAAAUGGACGAGGUUUGGGAAGUGACUGCUCCAGGUCCAGGAAGGACGCUCCUAGCUGAGCAAAGGGCAUUGGGCAGAACUCACAGGCCUUCACCGGGGCCCAGAGCAUGGGGCUCCGGAGAGCAGGCUGCCUGCUGGGAAAAAAUCAACAACUUAUCUGAAGGGAAAAAAGGCAGAUUGUCGGCACAGCAGAACAGGUAAAAACAUUUAAUUGCGCACACAUUGCCGUGUCACUGGUCAACAUGUCCUUGUUCUGAAAAAGGAAGGAAACAGGCUGAGGCUAACUGAACCUGCCAGGAGGCUGUUCAUCUGCCUUAUCCUCUCCUCUCGGGACAGCUGGGGCUGGUUCUGGGAUAGGACCCACCCCGGGGACCCCUGAAGGAUAUUUGAAGAAAGUUCUGGAAGUGGGGGUGCAGGACACCCAGAGAAAUAUGAGAAGUCAUCAAAAACCCAAGGGCUGUGAGCCCCUGCCCUGCCCUUCUUCCCGCUAAGAGGCUGGGGAGAUGCCACAGUUUGUAGCAAGUGGGCCACGAAUGCUCCUUUUCUGAUGAAUGGAAUCAAAUUCACGUCUUGCUUUUCCAGGUGUUCUGUGCAGCAGGAGAAGGAACUGUCAGGAAGAAGAUAAAGUCUAGGUGAGUCCGAAGGCUGAGGCCCAGAAGGAGGUGUGAUAACUUUU
rnacentral:lncRNA from 10 species